rnacentral:rRNA from 1 species
AGAGUUUGAUCAUGGCUCAGGAUGAACGCUAGCGGCAGGCCUAAUACAUGCAAGUCGAACGAGAUUAAGAGGCUUGCUUCUUAUGAAAGUGGCGCACGGGUGCGUAACGCGUAUGCAACCUACCUUAAUCAGGGGGAUAGCCCGAAGAAAUUCGGAUUAAGACCGCAUAAAAACACAGGAUAGCAUUAUCCAAUGUUCAAAUAUUUAUAGGAUUAAGAUGGGCAUGCGUGUCAUUAGCUAGUUGGCGGGGUAACGGCCCACCAAGGCGACGAUGACUAGGGGAUCUGAGAGGAUGACCCCCCACACUGGUACUGAGACACGGACCAGACUCCUACGGGAGGCAGCAGUAAGGAAUAUUGGUCAAUGGAGGGAACUCUGAACCAGCCAUGCCGCGUGCAGGAAGACAGCCCUCUGGGUCGUAAACUGCUUUUAUUCGGGAAUAAACCUUUCUACGUGUAGGAAGCUGAAUGUACCGAAGGAAUAAGGAUCGGCUAACUCCGUGCCAGCAGCCGCGGUAAUACGGAGGAUCCAAGCGUUAUCCGGAUUUAUUGGGUUUAAAGGGUGCGUAGGCGGCUUAUUAAGUCAGGGGUGAAAGACGGUGGCUCAACCAUCGCAGUGCCCUUGAUACUGAUGAGCUUGAAUACACUAGAGGUAGGCGGAAUGUGACAAGUAGCGGUGAAUGCAUAGAUAUGUCACAGAACACCGAUUGCGAAGGCAGCUUACUAUGGUGUUAUUGACGCUGAGGCACGAAAGCGUGGGGAUCAAACAGGAUUAGAUACCCUGGUAGUCCACGCCCUAAACGAUGAAUACUCGCUGUUAGCGAUAUACAGUUAGCGGCUAAGCGAAAGCGUUAAGUAUUCCACCUGGGGAGUACGCCCGCAAGGGUGAAACUCAAAGGAAUUGACGGGGGCCCGCACAAGCGGAGGAGCAUGUGGUUUAAUUCGAUGAUACGCGAGGAACCUUACCCGGGCUUGAAAGUUAGUGAAUGAUCUAGAGAUAGAUCAGUGAGCAAUCACACGAAACUAGUGUCGUCAGCUCGUGCCGUGAGGUGUUGGGUUAAGUCCCGCAACGAGCGCAACCCCUAUGUUUAGUUGCCAGCACGUUAAGGUGGGGACUCUAAACAGACUGCCUGUGCAAACAGAGAGGAAGGAGGGGACGACGUCAAGUCAUCAUGGCCCUUACGUCCGGGGCUACACACGUGCUACAAUGGAUGGUACAGAGGGCAGCAAGCUGGCAACAGCAAGCGAAUCUCAAAAAGCUAUUCACAGUUCGGAUAGAGGUCUGCAACUCGACCUCUUGAAGUUGGAUUCGCUAGUAAUCGCGUAUCAGCAAUGACGCGGUGAAUACGUUCCCGGGCCUUGUACACACCGCCCGUCAAGCCAUGGAAGUUGGGGGUACCUAAAGUAUGUAACCGUAAGGAGCGUCCUAGGGUAAAACCGAUA